UUCGUCGUCGCUUUCUAUCAGUUCGGUCUUCUGACGGUCGGUCUGUUGUUUGCAGCUGAUUUACAACAUAUCCAAGCUGGAGGCCGGAUAUUGGAGGUUCGGCGAUCUCUGGACGGCCUGAAAAGAUAAGGCCACGACCGCUGAGGUCGAGAAGGCAAUAAUGGUCGAUCAGCUGAAACAGUCGGUUGACCGUGAGGCCCGGCUCGAAGAGGAGA
rnacentral:lncRNA from 1 species